rnacentral:rRNA from 1 species
CUACGGGUUGCACCAGGCGCGCAACCUUUACAAUGCACUAACGUGUGAUAUGGGGACUCCAAGUGCUUAUGCUCAGCAUAGGCUUUUGCCAAGAGUGAAGACCUUGGCGAAUAAGCGGUGGGUAAGACUGGUGCCAGCAGCCGCGGUAACACCAGCGCCGCAAGUGGGAAUCGGUUUUAUUGGGCCUAAAGCAUCCGUAGCUGGCCUAACAAGUCUUUUGUGAAAUCGAGGAGCUUAACUCAUCGGAAUGCGGAAGAUACUGUUAGGCUUGGGACUGGGAGGAGUGAGAGGAAUUUCGUGGGAAGCGGUAAAAUGCUAUAAUCCUCGAAAGACCACCGAUGGCGAAGGCAUCUCACCAGAACAGAUCCGACAGUGAGGGAUGAAAGCUAGGGGAGCAAACCGGAUUAGAUACCCCUGUAGUC